rnacentral:sRNA from 1 species
AUGUAACGUUAGUACACUGCGGCUCCGCCGCGCCAUCCGCACUCACCUGGCGACUGCUUGCUGCGUUUUGUUAGCC